AAAUGAGCACUCGGUUUUUUUUGUUUGUUUUUUUGUUUUUUUGGUUUUUUUUUUGUUUUUUGUUUUUUUAAACUAACAUUUGUAGCAAAGCUGCCUCAAGAACAACCAAAUCCUACUGCAAUUAUCUGAGCUAACCAUGAGGUCUAAUCACCUAGAUUCCCCAUGUCAUGGAUUCCUUAGGUAUCCUAGGUCCAGGAUGUAGCUUGAUUGCUCCUUUCCAAGCCAAGCUAUGUAUCAAUAAGAUGCCCUCUUCUUCAUACCCCUACCUCAUUGGUGUGGCCUUAGACUUGGUCCUGACUAAAUCUGGAGUAUGCACAUUUGCCAUUUUAGCCUUUUGUCUCUAUAGGGAAAGUUUGUGGAAUUCUCUCUCUCUCUCUCUUUUUUUUUUGGUGCAAUGGACAAUUUUAAUGAACUACAGAGUAGACCCUGAGGUAGGAGAGAGGGGACUUACACCUCUGCUCUCAACGUGGAGAAGAGGCCAAAGAACUUGCCCAGACUUAUGGCAGAAGAUGCAGGGGAUGGCUCAGUAUUCUGGGUAAAAUAAAGAAGAUGGAGCCAAGAUGGGAACAAACCACACAUGAGUGCUGAGAGAGAGAAUAGAGCGGAUUGGAGAAGAACUGAGUCCUCCGAGUUGUUCCAGAAGAGAAAGUUCAACAGGCAGAGUGCAUCUUGGGGAAGAGAUGCCUUAUUAGUAGGUAUGAUUCGCCCUCAAAUCAGUUUUGCUAAGAAGAUGACAUAUUCUUGCUCAAUAACGGGAAAGCUAGUGUUCCUGUAUUUAGGAGUGCUUGGGCACUCGGCUGCCUGGAGUUCCAGACAUAGUCUAGAACCUUAAAUACCCCCCCCCCCCACAUACACACACACACAGUCUCCAGGCUCUGAGUUCCCUUCAACCACCCAGGGAAGCAGGUCACCUGGUUUUCCUUCAGUUUCUUCUGCAGCUGAAGAGCCAGGGCCUGCUCGUCCUCAAUUUUACUGUUCUGCUGACUGAUGUCGAACUCUUUCCUAGAGGAGAAGGGGCGUGAAACUGAGGGUCGCCCUUCCUCUGGGCCCGUCUUAUUGCUCUAUGCCAGAACCAGCCCCCAAACCCUGGCCCAGACAGCAAAGGGGUUGAGCCCUGACUGCCCUCACUUUCAGUGUGUCCAGGGAAGCCAAGCCAGUAGAAACACAGCAUCCUGCGCCACGGUUACCAGGCCAGAAACCUAUCCCUUGUCAGCCCCUCCUGCCCACCACGGGCCAUACUUCUUGAGCUUUUCUUCCAGCUGAAGCUUGUCAUUCUCCAGGUCCAUGAUGCUCUCCUGGGUCAGCUUCAGGUCUCCCUCCAGCUUCCGCUUGGCUCGCUCUAGGUCCAUGCGCACUUUCUUCUCCUGCUCCAGGGAUCCCUCCAGCUGGCAGAGAGAAUAAAAUGAAUACAUGCUGGAAAGACUGGAAUUCACAGUGUACGCCUUAAACUUGAAGUCCAUCGGGGUUGGUACUCCAGAGAUUUGCCUGAUGAGGAAUCCCAGAGAACAGAGAAGCUCCUGGGGUCAUAGGAGUUAGAUGCAGAGGGAAACUCCUUCUCUAUAGGCGUUGGCUACAGAGUCUUGAUCUGAGAGAGGCGGAACAUGGCUCUUAUCACUUACAUCAUCCACCUGCUGCUCCAGCUUGACUUUGGACUUGGUCAGCGUGUUGACCUUGUCUUCUUCAGCCUGCAGGUCAUCGAGGGCUUGCUGGUGGGCUUCUUGCAGAGCUUUCUUCUCUUUGGUCAGCUUGGCAAUGAUUUCAUCCAGCCCAGCCAUCUCCUCUGUUAGGUUUUUAACCUGCCAAAGAAGAAUAAAAAUAAAUAAAUAAAUCCACCUUGCCUUUAGGAUCAAAGGAUGUCAUUGUGGAGACAUGUAUAGAUGCUACCAACUAGGCCGAUACUCUGGUCUGGAAAUCUUCUGGAGACCUAGGCUGAACCCGAGGGAACCGGCCUCACCUUGUUCUCUGUUGCAUGCUUUUCCUUUUCCACCUUGGCCAGCGUCAGCUCCAGGUCAUCAAUAUCCUUCUUGAGCUCUGAGCACUCAUCUUCCAGCUUGCGCUUCUUGGCAGUGAGCUCGGCGUUCAUCUCCUCCUCGUCCUCCAGCCUCUCGGUCAUCUCCUUCACCUUGGCCUCCAGCUGGAUCUUGUUCUUGAUCAGCUGGUCACAGCGCUCCUCUGCAUCAUUGAGGUUGUCUUGUUCCUGGGGGCAAGGAAUGGAAGAAGUCAACGAUUAAAGAGAUUAAAGAGGGGGAAGAUGCGGGUCUUGUAAAGGGGUGGAGCUUCUGGAUUCCCAGACUCUGGAGAUGAGAUGGGCAACAAUCCAGGAGACAGAGAGGGAGAAAGAAGAGAAAGUCAUGUGGCCUCACCGCCUGCACUUGGAGCUGUAGGUCAUUCUUCUCCUGCAGCAGGGACACCAUCUUCUCCUCCAGCUCCUUGCGGCGAGCCUCAGACUUCUCCAGUGCAUCUUUGACUCGCCCAAACUCCUCCUUCAUGUUGGCCAUCUCCUUCUCCGUCUCUGCGCUCUUCAGCAGCGGUUUGAUCUUGAAGUAGAGCUUCAUCCAUGGCCAAUUCUUGACCCCCAUGAAGGCCCGAAUGUUCCACUGGAUAACCAGCAGGGCAUCCCUGACCAGAAAGAGUGCAAUCAGGAAGAACUCUAGAAAGAAGUCUCCUCAGGCAUGGGACCAGUUGCCCUGGCCUCCUCUGUCUGAGCAAGUUUGUAGGCACAAAGGACAAGGGGCAUUGUAGCCUCACUCCUUAUGAUUUCAACAAAAGUAUGGUAUGCAUUCCUCUACUGGGGCAGCAAUAGUAACAGAAGCCACUGAGAGGUCUACCUGUUCAGUGUUCAUUUUUGGGAUACCUUCAAAUACAGACUAUGUAGCAUUUUACAUCUCAGAAUGCUACAAAAUAACUGCUUGGGAGCCCACCAGCUGAGCAGGAGAUGGAGCAUUCAACUACUGAGCUGCAAGUGGGCUCCUUUCCACCUUCUCUGGCCCUCAACUAGAAGCAGCCACUGCUAUUAAACUUGUUUUUAAUUUUCUUACUUAAAAAUUAUUACUAUUUUUUGGCAGGGUGUGGUAGUGUAGAUUUUUUGUGCUUGUCAGCUGUGGUUCGAGGUUAGCCUGGUCUACAUAGUAAGCUCCAAGCCUGCCCUGCCUAGAUAUGUAAUGAGACACCCAUCUCAGUUUUUCUUUUUUUAAUUUGUGCUUGUGCGUGUGUUUUAUGUAGGCACACACAUGUGAGUAUACAUGGGUACAUGUGUGCCUAGAGACCAGAGGAGGACAUGAGCUGUCUCCUUCUGGCGUUCUCUGCCUUAAGGCACUGAACCUGGGGCUUGCUGUUUCCGUUAGGCUGGUAUGCAGGGAGCUCUACUGACCCUGCUCUCUCUGCCCCACAGGGCUGGGGUUAUGGAUUGGGCAGCUACACUCAGCUUUUCAUGUGGCUGCUGGAGAAGGAGCAUAAGAGUUCAUGUUUGCACAGCAAACCCUACCUGAGCCAUUUCCUUGGUUCCUCAAUUUUUUUUACUUCUUUUUUUUAAAAAAAAAAGUGUUUUAGACAAUAUGCAAAGGUCACUUUAAACAAUGAACUUCUGUUGUCAUGAUUUCUGAGCUUCAUAGAUAAAUACUGUGUCAUACUGUA